rnacentral:rRNA from 1 species
UGGGGAAUCUUGGACAAUGGGCGAAAGCCUGAUCCAGCCAUGCCGCGUGAGUGAUGAAGGCCCUAGGGUCGUAAAGCUCUUUCGCCAGGGAUGAUAAUGACAGUACCUGGUAAAGAAACCCCGGCUAACUCCGUGCCAGCAGCCGCGGUAAUACGUAGGGGGCAAGCGUUGUCCGGAAUUAUUGGGCGUAAAGAGCUCGUAGGCGGCUUGGUAAGUCGGCCGUGAAAACCAAAGGCUCAACCUUUGGAUGUCGGUCGAUACUGCCAUGGCUGGAGUCCGGUAGAGGAGAGUGGAAUUCCCGGUGUAGCGGUGAAAUGCGCAGAUAUCGGGAGGAACACCAGUAGCGAAGGCGGCUCUCUGGGCCGGAACUGACGCUGAGGAGCGAAAGCGUGGGUAGCAAACAGGAUUAGAUACCCCGGUAGUCC